rnacentral:rRNA from 1 species
GACGUAGGGCGCGAGCGUUGUCCGGAUUUAUUGGGCGUAAAGAGCUCGUAGGCGGCUUGUCGCGUCGUCCGUGAAAACUUGGGGCUCAACCCCAAGCUUGCGGUCGAUACAGGCAGGCUAGAGUUCGGUAGGGGAGACUGGAAUUCCUGGUGUAGCGGUGAAAUGCGCAGAUAUCAGGAGGAACACCGGUGGCGAAGGCGGGUCUCUGGGCCGAUACUGACGCUGAGGAGCGAAAGCGUGGGGAGCGAACAGG